rnacentral:rRNA from 1 species
UACGUAGGGUGCGAGCGUUUAAUCGGAAUUACUGGGCGUAAAGCGUGCGCAGGCGGUUUGUUAAGACAGAUGUGAAAGCCCCGGGCUUAACCUGGGAACUGCGUUUGUUACUGGCAAGCUAGAGUGUGUCAGAGGGAGGUAGAAUUCCACGUGUAGCAGUGAAAUGCGUAGAUAUGUGGAGGAAUACCGAUGGCGAAGGCAGCCUCCUGGGAUAACACUGACGCUCAUGCACGAAAGCGUGGGGAGCAAACAGG